rnacentral:misc_RNA from 1 species
GAUGAAGAACGUAGUGAAAUGCGAUACGUAAUGUGAAUUGCAGAAUUCAGUGAAUCAUCGAGUCUUUGAACGCACAUUGCGCCCCCUGGUAUUCCGGGGGGCAUGCCUGUCCGAGCGUCAUUGCUGCCCUCAAGCACGGCUUGUGUGUUGGGCCUCCGUCCUCCUCCCGGGGGACGGGCCCGAAAGGCAGCGGCGGCACCGCGUCCGGUCCUCGAGCGUAUGGGGCUUCGUCACCCGCUCUUGUAGGCCCGGCCGGCGCUUGCCGACACAUCAAUCUUUUUUCCAGGUUGACCUCGGAUCAAGUAGGGAUACCCGCUGAACUUAAGCAUAUCAAUAAGCGGAGGA